rnacentral:misc_RNA from 1 species
AAAUUAUGGUCCUACUCUCCAUUGAUUUAUAUGGUGACCUAAAUACAACUCUUUCCCUCAUUAUCUAUACACAAUCAGGGCCAGGAAGGGCCCUUAAGAAAGGGGACCAUACUCCCUGGGGGACCAUAAAAAAGGAAAGGAAAUGGGACUAAAAUAAGCCUAAUAUUAGCAAUGAACCUAGAUAGCUGAGCGCAUUGAGGCAUCUGCCCCCUAUUAGGAGCAAAACAUGAAGGAUUUCAUAAAAUAAUUCAAAUAUCGUUUACCCUUUGCAUUCGUUCGACUUCACUUCUUAAAAGAGAGCUUCGUCACCAUCCUAACGCAGGGCUGCUGACAUAAUCAAGCAUCGUCAGUCAGGAUUAAGGUUUAUUCAAAUAAAGUUCCUGCAGUGCAUCGAUUAAAAUGGUAUCAUUCAAGAUUUCCCAGGCGUUAUGGCUUGCAUUCCUUAUCAUUGGAGUAACAAAUGCUGAUAUUGCUGAAAAAACAGCAGCAGGAAAAACAAUUUUGAUAAAUGAACUGAACACAGAUCAACCAUCGUCCGACACUCUGGAAUACAUAGAACUUUACAAUACAUCGCCAUGGGACAUUAUCAUGGACAACUACACAUUGGUGUUAUAUAAUGGAAAAGCAGAACUAACGGCAUACACAAUGAUAACGCUGGAUGGCCAUUGUAUCAGUGCUCUGGGCUACUUUUUGAUUGGCUCUCCAUCCAUGACCAACCCAACACCAAACAUCAAGUUCACCCGACCUAGAAAUUCUAUACAAAAUGGAGAAGCGACAAGUUGUGAUGGUGUCGGAUUAUACAAUGGAGACUCUGGAGAUUUGAAUGCAGCAAAUUUAGUUGACUUUAUUGCGUACAGCAUCUACGCCUCUCAAACCGAUGCUGGUCCUUUUUACCCGGAUUACCUCCCUCAAAAUGCCAUUGCUAUCGAAGACCCUGCAUAUGGUGCAGAUGACGAGUCACUAAAUAGAUGUAAUGGCAAUGCGGUGAGGGACAUGACACAGUUCGAAACGAGACACCUAAGCCCUGGUACAGUGAACCUUUGUGAUGGGAGCCUUUCUCCAAUCAGUGUCCCGCCGAUGGCCUCUGAGAAUUGUGGCACAAAUCCAUGUGCUGAUGCCGUGCUGAAUAACUGCGACGUUAAUGCAGAAUGUUCCUCUGGUUUAGAUGGAAGUGCUAAUUGUACUUGCAAAUCGGGAUUCGUAGGGAAUGGGACAUCAUGUAAUGUAUUA